GCCCCCGUGGCGGAAUUGGCAUACGCGUAGCGUUCAGAACGCUAUCCCGCAAGGGUCAGAGGUUCGAAUCCUCUCGGGGGCACGA
rnacentral:tRNA from 1 species